CCAAGGAGUCUAACAUGUGUGCAAGUCGUAGGGUCAGCUCCUUAAAAAGAGCUAAACCCGAAGGCGAAAUGAAAGUGAAGGUUGUUUUAAAAAAUGACCGAGGCGAGAUCCUAAAAAAAACCGAGCAUAAUAGGCACGUCGCUUUUUUUCCUAACCUUCACGGGGAUAAAGAUGAAAGUGGCGGCUCGGAGGCGCAUCGCCGGCCCGUCUUAAUCGCUCUCUUUCUUAGCGGGAGAAUCGCUCUCAAGGGUGAUGGGGAAUUCCUUUCGGGGAAAUCUUUCUGAGCCCCCGCGGAGUCUCUUUUGCGGAUUGGGAACCUAGUCGAUGAGGCGGAGCAAGAGCAUACACGUUGGGACCCGAAAGAUGGUGAACUAUGCCCGGGCAGGACGAAGCCAGAGGAAACUCUGGUGGAGGUCCGCAGCGAUUCUGACGUGCAAAUCGAUCGUCGGACCUGGGUAUAGGGGCGAAAGACUAAUCGAACCGUCUA
rnacentral:rRNA from 1 species